GUGCUCGUUUUGGCAGCACCUAUACUAAUAAAACUGGAGUGCUACGGAGAUUGGCAUGGCCUCUGCACAAGGAUGAAAUGCAAAUUCCUGAUAAAUCAGUAUAUAUG
ensembl:snRNA U6 U6 spliceosomal RNA